rnacentral:tRNA from 1 species
GAAAAUAUAUGCUAUAUGAAGCAAUCAGACUCAUACUCUGACUAAGAGUUGUUACUCUAUUUUCC